rnacentral:rRNA from 1 species
AACGAACGCUGGCGGCAGGCUUAACACAUGCAAGUCGAACGGGCGUAGCAAUACGUCAGUGGCAGACGGGUGAGUAACACGUGGGAACCUUCCUAGGGGUACGGAACAACUCAGGGAAACUUGAGCUAAUACCGUAUACGUCCGUGAGGAGAAAGAUUUAUCGCCCUUAGACGGGCCCGCGUCGGAUUAGCUAGUUGGUAGGGGUAACGGCCUACCAAGGCGACGAUCCGUAGCUGAUCUUAGAGGAUGAUCAGCCACACUGGGACUGAGACACGGCCCAGACUCCUACGGGAGGCAGCAGUGGGGAAUCUUGGACAAUGGGCGCAAGCCUGAUCCAGCCAUGCCGCGUGAGUGAAGAAGGCCUUAGGGUUGUAAAGCUCUUUUACCAGGGACGAUAAUGACGGUAUCUGGAGAAUAAGCCCCGGCAAACUUCGUGCCAGCCGCCGCCGUAACAC